rnacentral:tRNA from 1 species
GCCGGAGUGGUGGAAUUGGUAGACACAAGGGACUUAAAAUCCCUCGGGCUCACUGCCCGUGCCGGUUCAAGUCCGGCCUCUGGUACCA